rnacentral:sRNA from 1 species
AACAAAAACCAAAAAAAAAUU